rnacentral:lncRNA from 1 species
CAAUGUUGAUGGGGAACCCAAGGAUCAGUAGACCUGUGAGCUCCAGAAAAAAUCGCAAGGGGAAGGGGAUGAAGGGGCUGUGUGAGGUCCAGUAUAAGCCAACUCUGUAAGGACAAAGGAGGCAAGGCACCGAAUAUAGCAGGAAACAGUUUUAUUUUCUGCAGCCAGGGCACAGCUUUUGCUGUAAUCAAUCAUUCCCCUUAACCCCGAGUUCAGGGAGUUGCAGAGUUUUAUAACCAGCAUGUAAGGGGACGGGCUCAGAAGUUCACAGUAUGCAAAAUUCACAUAAAAGCUGCUUUUUCUUUCACUGUUCUUGGCAAGUUAACUCUUCAAGGACAACACCUGGGAAAGGGAGAGCUUCUUCUCCCCUUUCUUUCCUCCCCCUGCCCAUUGUUACCAUGGAGUCUAAUUGGUAACUUAUCUUAAAAAUGUACACGUCUUUGUGAAGCCCAGCUCAAGGCCAGAGGCCUUGUUUGCACAUUUUCUUCAAAUUACUAUACUGGAUAUGUUUGUGAAAAACUAGUAAGGGGAUGUCCAGCACCUGGAGUGCUGGUAUCUUCCCAGCCGUGACCAAGUAACAGGGCGACACAAAUACAGGAAGUUUAUCUACAAUGGACUCUUUCACAAGGACUCUUUUGCUGACAGUCCUAAAAUCAGCCAUGGUGAAGUGGGCUUUUCUGUUGAGAAAGGGGGUUCCACUUCAAUUCCACCCUUUAAUGAUGCUCCCCAUAAUUUAAUCCUAUAAAUUUGAGAUCCUCAUUACAUUAUCUUGGCUUAAAGCCUUAUAUAAUGCCAAAAUCUUAAUUGUUGUCAUCCUUUCAAUAGCAGCUUCUAUAGUGGACCCAAUAGUUUUAAUGCACAGUGGAGCCAAACACGGGAACAAUAAACAGAUUAACAGCAGAAUACCCACUACACCAGUUAAGCUUUCAAAUCUACCUAGAGUUUAAAACUAUCUCCCAAAAGCAUGUUUGGGAUCCAAACUUUAAUGCCCUUCUAGAUAUGAACUAGCACAUGUGCUAGUUCUCUUUUUCAGUUGGCUAUAUCCUUAAAUGUUUUUCUAUUGUCAUCCAUUUGGAUGCAAUAAUCUGAGCUGUUGAACUCUCCAUAUAUUUCUCUUUCCUCAGCAAGUAGGUAAUCUAAUGCCAAGUGGUUUUGAUAGUUAGCCACUCGCAUCUGGUCUGUUGUGUGGCCAGGAGGUCAAAGGCUGU